rnacentral:rRNA from 1 species
GAUGAACGCUAGCGGCAGGCCUAAUACAUGCAAGUCGAGGGGCAUCAUAGUAGCAAUACUGAUGGCGACCGGCGCACGGGUGCGUAACACGUAUACAAUCUGCCUUUAACAGGGGAAUAGCUCGGAGAAAUCCGAAUUAAUGCCCCAUAAUACGGGAAACGGCAUCGUUUUCUGUUGAAAGCUCCGGCGGUUAGAGAUGAGUAUGCGCAUGAUUAGCUAGUUGGUAGUGUAACGGACUACCAAGGCUACGAUCAUUAGGGGAUCUGAGAGGACUACCCCCCACACUGGUACUGAGACACGGACCAGACUCCUACGGGAGGCAGCAGUAAGGAAUAUUGGUCAAUGGAGGCAACUCUGAACCAGCCAUGCCGCGUGCAGGAUGAAGGCGCUAUGCGUCGUAAACUGCUUUUGUACGGGAGAAAACCAUGGUACGUGUACCGUGUUGAUAGUACCGUAAGAAUAAGGAUCGGCUAACUUCGUGC